UCACCUCUGGCGCAAUGGCAGCGUGUCAUCUUCCGGUUUACCUAUGUUUCACCCCUAUUUAUAGAUCUUCUAUUAUAGGAAAACAUUGGGAAUGGGUCGUGGUGAAGGCUCUCGGUUCGAGUCCGGGGAGGUGAG